rnacentral:misc_RNA from 1 species
AGAGGAGGGGAAUGGAGAAAUAGUUAGUGAUAUAAUAUAUUACAGUUCACUGUUAAUUUAGCCUAUUCACUAAAUGGCGCCAAAUUUGUUAGUAAGCAGUUAUUCAGUUAAGCAGGUAUCUACAAUCUUCUAGUUCCUUCUCACAUGUAUAUAAACAUGUACAAUUAUUUCUAUUAGAUCAAUGAGAAUAUUUUUUCUCUCCAAUCUUCUUGUUUUUCUUCCUCUAUACUCUAUUCAUCUUUGUUUUGGAACACUGCUGUUAGGACAAUGGGCAAAUUUCACACAGUAAAGAAUCUAAAAGAGUAAAAUCAAUACUAGGGAUCUUGAGUAAUGUUUGAUAUGCAACAUGACCUAGCCGUUCAUGCCACAAAUUACAGGAUGACUUGUUGGAAUGUACUGAAUUACAAUGCUUCUUAGAAACAAGAAAUGAAGGAAAAACAUGAGAAAAUGAAGAAGCAUCAAGUAUUUAUAGCCCAACAUGUUCUCUUCCAGUUGCUAUUGUCUCCUCACUCCAUUGGUCUUGCAAAAUAUAUUUUGAUGGGAAGAAAGAAACUAUUAUGUUAGUGGUUUGCAACAAUUUGCUAACAAAAAUGAGGUUAUAUUUGAAGGAACAUACAUAUAGUACAUUUGUUAAGGUCAUUUUGGGGUGGAAGGAAAUAGUACCCACGUGUGUAACGGGUUGUUUGGUACCAUCAGGUAAACAUACAGGUGAAAUGGUAUUGGAUUUGUCUAUGAGAGAAAAAAAAAAAGGUUUUAUCUGAGCAUAUAUGGCUGGUCGCAC